rnacentral:rRNA from 1 species
GAUGAACGCUAGCGAUAGGCUUAACACAUGCAAGUCGAGGGGCAGCAUGGUCUUAGCUUGCUAAGACUGAUGGCGACCGGCGCACGGGUGCGUAACGCGUAUGCAACUUGCCUCACAGAGGGGGAUAACCCGUCGAAAGACGGACUAAUACCGCGUACACUUGGGAUAGGGCAUCCUGACCCAAGGAAAUGAAAUUCGCUGUGAGAUAGGCAUGCGUCCCAUUAGCUAGUUGGUGAGGUAACGGCUCACCAAGGCGACGAUGGGUAGGGGAACUGAGAGGUGGAACCCCCACACUGGGACUGAGACACGGACCAGACUCCUACGGGAGGCAGCAGUGAGGAAGAUUGGUCAAUGGGCGAGAGCCUGAACCAGCCAAGUCGCGUGAAGGAUGACUGUCUUAUGGAUUGUAAACUUCUUUUAGACGGGAAUAACAAGAGUCACGUGUGGCUCCCUGCAUGUACCGGAUGAAUAAGCAUCGGCUAACUCCGUG